rfam:Trichobilharzia regenti genome assembly, scaffold: TRE_scaffold0008425
AUCCAGCUGACGAGUCCAAAAUACGACGAAAUGUGUAUUCUGGAU